AAAUACGUUAUUCUACCUCUGGAAGCAACAUUUCAAGCAACAGGACAGGGGAUAGAGCCUGAAUGGACCUCACUUUCUCUGGAAACCCCUCCAGAAGCAGACUUUCCCAAGCAGAGCACAGUGGAGGAGCUGCAGUCCUCCAGCACUGGACCCCUCCAACCACCACAGCUUGAGAGAAGGGCACAGGUCCGCCACAGUUUGUUAGAGUGGAGCCCAGGCGCGGAGCGACUAAUGAGCAUGCUGGAGAGAGUGUCCAACCCAACGCCAGCUAGAGACAAUCCACCUGUCUGCUCUCAGACGCAGGCACUUUUUUCCACUAUUCUCAGUUGUCAAUACAGACCUGACCUGCAAUUUCUAGUAUAUGAAAAAAAGAUUUUGUUUCCCUUGAUAUGUAUCCAAAGAAGAGGACUGUCUGCAUGAAAAACAAAUAAAUCGCCUGACAUAUUCUAGGUAAAUGGAAU
rnacentral:lncRNA from 1 species